rnacentral:rRNA from 1 species
UACGGGGGGGGCAAGCGUUGUUCGGAAUUACUGGGCGUAAAGGGCGUGUAGGUGGCCAACUAAGUCCGACGUGAAAUCCCCAGGCUUAACCUGGGAACUGCGUCGGAUACUGGAUGGCUUGAAUUCGGGAGAGGGAUGCAGAAUUCCAGGUGUAGCGGUGAAAUGCGCAGAUAUCGGGAGGAACACCGGUGGCGAAGGCGGUUCUCUGGGCCUUACCUGACGCUGAGGAGCGAAAGCGUGGGGAGCGAACAGG